rnacentral:rRNA from 1 species
AUUGAACGCUGGCGGCAGGCUUAACACAUGCAAGUCGAGCGGAGAUGAGGUGCUUGCACCUUAUCUUAGCGGCGGACGGGUGAGUAAUGCUUAGGAAUCUGCCUAUUAGUGGGGGACAACAUUCCGAAAGGAAUGCUAAUACCGCAUACGUCCUACGGGAGAAAGCAGGGGAUCUUCGGACCUUGCGCUAAUAGAUGUGCCUAAGUCGGAUUAGCUAGUUGGUGGGGUAAAGGCCUACCAAGGCGACGAUCUGUAGCGGGUCUGAUAGGAUGAUCCGCCACACUGGGACUGAGACACGGCCCAGACUCCUACGGGAGGCAGCAGUGGGGAAUAUUGGACAAUGGGGGGAACCCUGAUCCAGCCAUGCCGCGUGUGUGAAGAAGGCCUUAUGGUUGUAAAGCACUUUAAGCGAGGAGGAGGCUACUGAGACUAAUACUCUUGGAUAGUGGACGUUACUCGCAGAAUAAGCACCGGCUAACUCUGUGCCAGCCGCCGCAGUAA